rnacentral:rRNA from 1 species
AUUGAACGCUGGCGGCAUGCUUUACACAUGCAAGUCGAACGGCAGCGCGGGCUUCGGCCUGGCGGCGAGUGGCGAACGGGUGAGUAAUACAUCGGAACGUGCCCAGUAGUGGGGGAUAGCUCGGCGAAAGCCGGAUUAAUACCGCAUACGACCUGAGGGUGAAAGCGGGGGAUCUUCGGACCUCGCGCUAUUGGAGCGGCCGAUGGCAGAUUAGCUAGUUGGUGGGGUAAAGGCCUACCAAGGCGACGAUCUGUAGCUGGUCUGAGAGGACGACCAGCCACACUGGGAAUGAGACACGGCCCAGACUCCUACGGGAGGCAGCAGUGGGGAAUUUUGGACAAUGGGCGAAAGCCUGAUCCAGCAAUGCCGCGUGUGUGAUGAAGGCCUUCGGGUUGUAAAGCACUUUUGGCGGGAACGAAAAGGACUGUGCCAAUACCACGGUUCGAUGACGGUACCCGCAGAAUAAGCACCGGCUAACUACGUG